CAGCCGCCGCGGUAAAACGAAGGGCGCAAGCGUUACUCGGAAUUACUGGGCGUAAAGCGUGCGUAGGUGGUGGUUUAAGUCCGUUGUGAAAGCCCUGGGCUCAACCUGGGAAUUGCAGUGGAUACUGGAUCACUAGAGUGUGGUAGAGGAUAGUGGAAUUUCCGGUGUAGCAGUGAAAUGCGUAGAGAUCGGAAGGAACAUCUGUGGCGAAGGCGACUAUCUGGGCCAACACUGACACUGAGGCGCGAAAGCGUGGGGAGCAAACAGGAUUAGAUACCCGAGUAGUCCCUGUCUCUUAUAC
rnacentral:rRNA from 1 species